rnacentral:rRNA from 1 species
GCUACCAUGCAGUCGAGCGGUACAUUUCAAAGCUUGCUUUUGAAGAUGACGAGCGGCGGACGGGUGAGUAAUGCCUGGGAAUUUGCCCAUUUGUGGGGGAUAACAGUUGGAAACGACUGCUAAUACCGCAUACGCCCUACGGGGGAAAGCAGGGGACCUUCGGGCCUUGCGCUGAUGGAUAAGCCCAGGUGGGAUUAGCUAGUAGGUGAGGUAAAGGCUCACCUAGGCGACGAUCCCUAGCUGGUCUGAGAGGAUGAUCAGCCACACUGGGACUGAGACACGGCCCAGACUCCUACGGGAGGCAGCAGUGGGGAAUAUUGCACAAUGGGGGAAACCCUGAUGCAGCCAUGCCGCGUGUGUGAAGAAGGCCUUCGGGUUGUAAAGCACUUUCAGCGAGGAGGAAAGGGUGUAAGUUAAUACCUUACAUCUGUGACGUUACUCGCAGAAGAAGCACCGGCUAACUCCGUGCCAGCAGCCGCGGUAAUACGGAGGGUGCGAGCGUUAAUCGGAAUUACUGGGCGUAAAGCGUGCGCAGGCGGUUUGUUAAGCGAGAUGUGAAAGCCCCGGGCUCAACCUGGGAACCGCAUUUCGAACUGGCAAACUAGAGUCUUGUAGAGGGGGGUAGAAAUUCCAGGUGGUAGCGGUGGAAAUGCGUAAAGGAUCUGGAGGAAUAACCGGUGGCGAAAGGCGCCCCCUGGAACAAAGACUGAACGCUCAGGCCCA